AAAGUUUCAAAAUUUAUAGUUCUGUGGAUAUUAUAGGAUAAAUAAAGUUUAAAGAUAAGGGACAAAGCCACAGAAUGAAAUGAAAUAAAAAGGCGAUAACUCAAAAACGGAAAGGAUUUAAAAAGAGAACUUGGCAUUACCAGAUUCAUAAAAUCUGCGUGGAUUCCAUAAUAAAAAAAUCUGUACAUCAAUUAUAAAUAUUGAAGCUUUUACCCUGAUACUAUUUUAGGUGUUUCACUGAAGCAAAGAAAUGAUACGCUUGAAGCUACGGAAGAAACUGUUGAAGUUAAGACAUCUUAUAAUUUACACAUGGAGAGAUUAUUCUACCAAAAACAUCAAUACCUCAUCGUCAGAUGUUUUGACGUCAUUAUUGUCAUCAUACGAGUAACCAACACCUGCAGGUGAUUCAAGGUAAAGAACGUUUGCAAUCUUGUU